rnacentral:rRNA from 1 species
CCUACGGGCGGCAGCAGUGGGGAAUAUUCCACAAUGGGGGAAACCCUGAUGCAGCAACGCCGCGUGGUGGAAGAAGUCUUUCGGUAUGUAAACUUCUAUCAGCAGGGAAGAAAAUGGCGGUACCUGACUAAGAAGCUUCGGCUAACUACGUGCCAGCAGCCGCGGUCAUACGUAGGGGGCAAGCGUUAUCCGGAUUUACUGGGUGUAAAGGGAGCGUAGGCGGUUUAGCAAGUCAGAAGUGAAAGCCCUGGGCGCAACUCGAGGAGUGCUUUUGAAACUGGGGAACUUGAUUGCAGGAGAGGUGAGUGGAAUUCCAAGUGUAGCGGUGAAAUGCGUAGAUAUAAGGAGGAACACCAGUGGCGAAGGCGGCUUACUGGACUGUAAAUGACGCUGAGGUUCGAAAGCGUGGGUAGCAAACAGGAUUAGAUACCCGUGUAGUC